GCUUUUUUGUACCAGUUACUCUUUGAUCAGCUAUUACUUGCAUUAUCUUCUGGUGUCGAGAAUGUCUUCUUUCAUGCUUUACGGCGUCAUAAUUCGUAGAAGUUUAGGGUUUUUGACUGUCUUCGUUGCCUUCUUUUCAAAUUUGAAUGUUGAUUAACAUUUAAUAUUUCCAAAGUAGGAAAGUGUUUUAGACGUGCUUUAUGGUUUAUAUAAUAAUGGCUCAGCAGAAACUAAUUGAUGUUUAAUGCCUCAGAAAGAGGAAGGGAAAUGAAAGCAUAAUUAGAGUUUCUUCGUAGCCAUGUGUCUUGGUAAAUUCGUGUAACUGAAACAAUGAGUGAACCCGAACUUUUUUCUGGAUGUGUAUUGUGCGUGGUGGGUUGGCUGCAAAGAGUUUCUAUGUUGAUUGUCUUUGCAUGCGUAUGAAUUCACUUAAGAGCAUUUUAGGUGGUACAUGGGCAUAGCUAUGUAGUUGAUUAGCAAGUUUGGUCACCCACGGGAUUGGGUAUAUGACAUAUGGGUUCAGCACUUUUGGAUUUCAAGCACAAGUUCAAUAUCUCACAUAAUGUAGUUCAAUUAAAUGUAACACUCAAUAAACGUUUUAAUGCAUUUUGAGCAAUUAAUCUUUUUAUUAAACAGUGAUAGAACUCAUUAAAUCUGAUUUUGAUUGUAUAAGAAGUUUGAUAGCCGUGACUUACAUUAGUUUCGACUUGAUAUUGCACAGUUUCUUGCAAAAAUGCUCUUUUU